rnacentral:lncRNA from 1 species
UAACUGAUAGUUUAAUAGGGUCAUUAGUAUAUAGCAGUUUCGUACGUUGGGUUUUAGACGUGCGUUUGUUUAGUUACGUAUAUUCUAUUUGGCUAAAGCCUAAGUAAGAAAAGAGAAGAAGUUUUGUCAGAGAAAAACUUUGAGACAAGCGAGUUUUGAGAGAAACUGUCAAGGGUUGGAGAGAAAGUUCUGAGUUUUAACAAGUGGUGGUCAAGCAAGUGAAUGUAUGUUAUAUAAAAUUUGAAACAUAUUACGGUAUAAUUUUAUUGAAUAUC